AAGGAAAAGGUGAAACCUGAAGAUACAGCUCCAAGUGACAAGGCUUGCUCUGAGGCUAUGAUAGCUGAUGAAGAAUUAUGUUCCUCUUAAGGCAAUAAGAAAGGACCUGAAGAAAAAUGAAGACUUAGGUACUCACAAAAGACUACCGCUUGCUUUCUUCCUGCUUCAUUCUGAAUAUUGUCCAAAGAUCAAGAGUGAAUCACCGGGCUUGUCCACUGGGAAUGUAGCAAGGAAAUUGGGUGAGAUGUGGUCUGAGCAGACAGCCCAAGAUAGACCACCAUGUGAAGAGAAGGCAGCUGAACUAAAGGAAGAAUGAGAUACAGGAUAUUGCAUGCCUUGAGAGGGCAGAGGUGAUGCAAGAUACAAGGGCCCUAGUGGGCCAGGAGGCUCAAGGAAGAAUGAAAAGAUGAAGAAGGGGAGGAAUAGGAGAAGGAGAGGAGAAGAUGGAGGAGGAAGAGGAAAAGGAGGAUGUAGAAGAAGA
rnacentral:lncRNA from 1 species